rnacentral:rRNA from 1 species
AGAAUCAACGCUGGCGGCGUGCCUAACACAUGCAAGUCGAACGAGAAAGUGGAGCAAUCCAUGAGUAAAGUGGCGCACGGGUGAGUAACACGUGACUAACCUACCCUGGAGUGGGGGAUAACUGAGGGAAACCUUAGCUAAUACCGCAUAAUACCUACGGGUCAAAGGAGCAAUUUCGCUUCAGGAGGGGGUCGCGGCCGAUUAGUUAGUUGGCGGGGUAAUGGCCCACAAGACAGUGAUCGGUAUCC